GACGAACGCUGGCGGCGUGCUUAACACAUGCAAGUCGAACGAAGUGGCGAACGGGUGAGUAACGCGUAAUCAACCUGCCCUUCAGCGGGGGACAACAGUUAGAAACGACUGCUAAUACCGCAUACUGAAGAAGGGGCUUGCGUCUGAUUCGCUAGUUGGAGGCGUAACGGCCCACCAGGGCGAUGAUCAGUAGCCGGUCUGAGAGGAUGAACGGCAACAUUGGGACUGAGACACGGCCCAGACUCCUACGGGAGGCAGCAGUGGGGAAUCUGCCGCAAUGGACGAAAGUCUGACGGAGCAACGCCGCGUGAGUGAUGAAGGCCUUCGGGUUGUAAAGCUCUGUUAUUAGGGAAGCGGUACCUAAUCAGAAAGCCACGGCUAACUACGUGCCAGCAGCCGCGGUAAUUC
rnacentral:rRNA from 1 species